CCUACGGGGGGCAGCAGGCGCGGAAACUUUACAAUGCAGGUAACUGUGAUAAGGGAACCCCGAGUGCCCGUAUGGACGGGCUGUUCAGGUGUGUAAAGAACACCUGGAGAAAGGGCCGGGCAAGACCGGUGCCAGCCGCCGCGGUAAUACCGGCGGCUCGAGUGGUGGCCACUAUUACUGGGCUUAAAGCGUCCGUAGCUGGGUAGUUAAGUCUCUUGGGAAAUCUUCCGGCUCAACCGGAAGGCGUCUAAGGGAUACUGGCUACCUAGGGAUCGGGAGAGGUGAGAGGUACUCUGGGGGUAGGAGUGAAAUCCUGUAAUCCUUAGGGGACCACCUGUGGCGAAGGCGUCUCACCAGAACGACUCCGACAGUGAGGGACGAAAGCUGGGGGAGCAAACCGGAUUAGAUACCCCGGUAGUCC
rnacentral:rRNA from 1 species